rnacentral:lncRNA from 1 species
UCCUUUUAGUUGUUGGCUUGUUGCAUAGAGCUAUUUACUUAAAACACUAUAUAACUGAGAAACCAACGGGCAGACCUGAGACAGCUGCCACUGAAGCCAAUUAUCGUUGAGGUGGCAACGGACAAGUUCAAGAGCCUGUACCGUGAGGACCGUGUUGUGGGUGUGGAAGGGGCGCAUCCUGUACGCUCACUUGGUGUAGUAGGUGGCAGACAACAUUGCCACAGAUUAUUAGCUUCUUUGCCUGCAUAAGGAUAGUUACUGUUAAUUUGUUUCGUGCACAAAUACAAGUUUCCCAACAAAAACUCAAAAAGUGCAUAAUACGAGAUCUAUACACAUGAAUUUGGUUUGUGUUUGACGAGUUAAACACGCUUUGUAAAGGUCAAUUGCUGCAACAUCAGAUGUUUCAUCACUCCAUUUACAUUUGUGGCCGAGUUACAGAAUCCAUAACCUAUUUUCCAGUAUUGAUGUGACAUCACACUGAAUCUUACAACAUUGAGUCACAUAAGAUGGCUGGAUCUUUUUUGUAAGUUUCCUCCUUCAGAAAUGACAUUUGUAAGUUAGCAUUGAUAAAUGACUGAAAAACACUCAUAAAUGGGUCUGCUAAGUUGGCUGGAAUUGAAUUUGUAAUUUGUCUGACCUACAAAUUUAUUGUUAAAACUUGUUCAGAAUCUGACUGUUUCUGUGCAUCAUAACAGCACAAAACUUCAAUACAUAAAAUUGAUUCCUACUAGAGACAGGGACAGAAAAGAUGGCUGCAUAUUAAAGCUUUUUGUUUUGUCCAUAAGCACAGGCGGGUGAUUAAACCAACCAUCUGGAAUGUAAAGCUAGUUCGAAUAGCUAAAAACCAACAGGGUUCGAGGAUAAUGAUAUCUCCACUCCAAUUCCAACAUAUUUCCACUGCACCAUCACCAAGUAGCAUGUACCCACCAUGGCUGUCACCCAGGAGGAGUUGUUAGGUGUCACUGAGUCUGCGCUACUGCCUCCGUCCGUCUUCCUUGACCUUCCCCAAACGACCGAUGGUGACUCAAAGCAGCCACAGGAUGACCUGUUCCUGGAACACAUCUCGCGCAUGCUCAUGGAGGAUGACGUUGUCGACAAGUUCACCUACCAAUACCCUGAUCACCCGAAGCUCCUGCAGGCCGAGCAACCCUUCGCCCAGAUCCUCUCCGCUGCUGCCACCAGCUCAUUCGAUGCCAA